rnacentral:rRNA from 1 species
GACGAACGCUGGCGGCGUGCUUAACACAUGCAAGUCGAACGGAAAGGCCCUGCUUUUGUGGGGUGCUCGAGUGGCGAACGGGUGAGUAACACGUGAGUAACCUGCCCUUGACUUUGGGAUAACUUCAGGAAACUGGGGCUAAUACCGGAUAGGAGCUCCUGCUGCAUGGUGGGGGUUGGAAAGUUUCGGCGGUUGGGGAUGGACUCGCGGCUUAUCAGCUUGUUGGUGGGGUAGUGGCUUACCAAGGCUUUGACGGGUAGCCGGCCUGAGAGGGUGACCGGCAAAAUGGGACUUGGGGAAGGGCCAGACGGCCAAGGGGGGGAAGGGGGGGGAAUAUGGCACAAUGGGCGGAAGCCUGAUGCAGCAACGCCGGGUGCGGGAUGACGGGCUUCGGGUUGUAAACCGCUUUCGCCUGUGACGAAGCGUGAGUGACGGUAAUGGGUAAAGAAGCACCGGCUAACUACGUG